ensembl:lincRNA
AUGCUGCGGGUGUGGCAUCUGUGGGGACAGCCCGGUCUCCUCCCUCACGUUGAUGGCGAUGUAGUUGAGGCCUUUUGGAAAACCCGCAGAGGCCUCUCUGCGCAUGGGGGAGCCGCUGCCCCCCGAGCAGCCAGGCAGGCCCCCGGGCUGACCAGCAGUCCAUGGCCUAGACUGUGGCGUCAGGGGCGUGGCGGGGGCCAGCUGCGAGUGUCGGGGGGAUGUGAGUGGCUCGUCGUCUCCUCCGAGGACCCCGCCGAGGACGCCACUGCCUUCACUGCUUUUCCUGAGAGAGACGUUUUCCACAGAGGCCGAGUUGUGGCGCUUGGGGUUGUGGGCGAAGGACGGGGACGCGGGGGUGACCGUGGUGGUGGAGGAGAAGGUCUCCGAGCUGUGGCGGCGGCGGCCUCCCUGUGGGUCCGCGCGGAUGACCUUGGCCCCCCGGUGGGGGUCGGGGGGCUGGCUGGCCUGCAGGAAAGCUUCAAGCCCCGACACCUGGUCCAUGAGGCUCAGCCGCUUCAGGCCUGCCGUGGGGCUGCUCACUUGGGCACCUUCCGGCUUUGGGGGGGCUGCAAUGGGUUGUGGCGGGGUGGCCACCACACCAAAGGCCAUCUCAGUGUAGUCACCGCUGUCACCAGCCUCUGAGGAUGCCAAGGCAGAGGCAGUGGUGCUAGGGCCCUGGGAGGUGGCAGCGGCAGCACUGGGUGCUGAAGGCAGGCGGUACAGCUCCCCGAGCGCCGGAGGCGGGGGCUGCUGCUGCAGGGAAGAGGACAGAGAAGCCGAUGGGCGAGGGGGUAGUGGCGGGUAUGGGGAAGUGGCCUCAGGGGACGGGAGGGUAUCCAAGAAGCCCACUGGGUCCCCACCACGGGCUCCCGGCUUGGGGGACUUGGGGGAGCUGAAGCCCAAGUUCAUGUAGUCAGACAGAGGGGAGCGCUGCCUGCUGUCACCACUGGUGCCCGGUGUGCCCGAGCCCAGGGAGGAGGCCGGGCUGCUGACAGACAGCAGCGAGGAGGAUGAGGCCGCAGAGGUCAGCAGUGGAGGGGCCGGCGGGGACAGGCGGGUGCCCGCCUCCCCGAAGUCGAUGUUGAUGUACUCGCCGGGGCUCUUGGGCUCCGGGGGCAGGGGGUACUCGUGCAUGCUGGGCAGCGUCUGCAGGCCCUCCAGGGACAGACGCGUGGGGCGCACUGCCCGGCAGCGCUGGCCCACGAAGCCUUCGGGGCGCCCACCAGCAGUGCUACCUGGCCUCAUGGGCGAAGGCGCUGCUGCAGCUGGUAGGUGACGAGGUUGGAUGUGGCUGUCCCUCCCACUCCCAAAGGCGCUGGUCAACAGGGUGGGCCCUGGGGUGGCCACACACUCCAGUCUCUCCUCCUCCAGGAUCCGGCCCACCGGGGAGCUCAUGAGCACAUACUGGUCACUGUCUGCACCCCCACAGAGAUAAGGAGCCUUGCAGGAUCGUGGCAGGGAGCUGUAGCAGUAGCCAGGGACACUUCUGAGCCCUUCCCCACCGCCCUGCAGGGCCGCAGAGAAGUCCGGCGAGGUGCCCACCGGGCCCGCCUCGCUAGGGGACAUGUUGAGGUAGUCCCCGUUGGCUAGCAGCUUGGGGUCGGUGCUCUCUAUGGACAGCUUGGAGCCACACCACAUGCGCAUGUACCCGCUGUCCUCAGGAGAGCUCUCCGCAGGUGACCCAGCCUUGUAGCUACCCACAGUCCCUGGGAAGGGCUUGACAGCUGCGGAGGGGGCAGCUGGCACCGCUGGGGCCGAGGGGGGCAGGGCCACAGCCAGGGCAGCCCUCGGAUGCAGAAUCUGCUUCGGGGCAGACACACUGGUAGGGCUCAUGGGCAUAUAGUCGUCGCUGCCACUGCCCAGCAGGGCCGCGCCCGGGCUCAUGGGCAUGUAGCCAGCGUCCAGCCCCAGGUUGCUGUUGGAGCUCCGGUGUGAGCCAAUCUCGAUGUCGCCGUAGUCCUCUGGAUAGGGGUGGUACGCCACUCUGGGGGAGGACGCGGGGCAGGGAGGGCACAGGCGGCCGGAGCUGCCCGAGAAGGUGGCCCGCAUCAGCGUGUACUCAUCCAGCGAGGCCGAAGACGGCUGAGGCGGCGGGCGCUGGCGUGCGGGAGUGGUCAGCGAGUAGGUACGCUUCCGCAGGCCCCGGUCCAAGUCCUGCGCAGCGUCCCCCGAGACCCUGCGAUAGGGGCGGCCGCAGUGGCCCAAGGGCCUGUCCAUGCUCAUGUACCCGUACAGCUCACCCGCAGCGCCCUCCCGCGCCGGGGGCGUCUCUGUGAUGGACUCGGGCGUGUUGCUGCGGUGGCUGCAAAAAGCACGCAGAUCGCCUGGGCUAGACCCGUACUCGUCCAGAGACAUGAAGCCCGGAUCGCUCGGAGAGCCCGAGGCCGAGGCG